rnacentral:tRNA from 1 species
GGCCUCGUAGCUCAGCUGGAUAGAGCACCAGAUUCCUAAUCUGGGGGUCGCGCGUUCGAAUCGCGCCGAGGUCACCA